rnacentral:tRNA from 1 species
GGGCUUGUCCAUCGGGAUGGUAGCCUGCCUUGCAAGCAGGCCGUGCGGGUUCGACUCCCGACAGGUCCACCA